GAUGAAGAACGUAGUGAAAUGCGAUACGUAAUGUGAAUUGCAGAAUUCAGUGAAUCAUCGAGUCUUUGAACGCACAUUGCGCCCCCUGGUAUUCCGGGGGGCAUGCCUGUCCGAGCGUCAUUGCUGCCCUCAAGCACGGCUUGUGUGUUGGGCCUCCGUCCUCCUCCCGGGGGACGGGCCCGAAAGGCAGCGGCGGCACCGCGUCCGGUCCUCGAGCGUAUGGGGCUUCGUCACCCGCUCUUGUAGGCCCGGCCGGCGCUUGCCGACACAUCAAUCUUUUUUCCAGGUUGACCUCGGGUCAGGUAGGGAUACCCGCUGAACUUAAGCAUAUCAAUAAGCGGAGGA
rnacentral:misc_RNA from 1 species